AGUCACAAGAAAAGAUAGUCUUGUAAUUGAGGUGCCACCUGGGAUCACAGAAGGUGUGUGUCUGCUGCACUUGGAACCCAGAGAAUACAAAUAGGCUUGUAACCUCUUGGUGUUUAUAUCUUUGCAGGGGCAUGACAAAUGGUCUGAGAUCUGGAUUAGUAUUUUUGUCGCAGAAGAAAUGGUUAUGCUGGAGGGAGCUGCAGG